rnacentral:lncRNA from 1 species
CUUCACAUCGUCCAAAAGGAGAAAAUUGCAGCAAAAAUCACCCGUGUAAACGGGCCUUUAAACCUUAAACUCUGAGCAUGCAAGGGAUGAUGGGUUGGUUUUCAAAUAUUUGGCCCAUAAUUAAACUUAGAGAAUUGCCUUUGCAGGAAUUGUGUUUUCUACUGUGCAUCUUCUAUGUCUCUUAGACAUUCUUGCAAAGCCAAUUAACCCAUUGAGUGGCGAUGCACCCUACUUUAGUAUUUUACUCUGUCUAACGCCAGACGAUUUUACUCGUCAAGGGGAGAGCACUGGCGCUUAAUGGGUUAACUGGCCUAUCUGCCCAUGUGUCCAGUUAACCCAUUGAGUGGCGAUACACCCUGA